AUAUUGGACAAUGGGCGCAAGCCUGAUCCAGCCAUGCCGCGUGGAUGAUGAAGGCCCUAGGGUUGUAAAAUCCUUUCGUUGGGGACGAUAAUGACGGUAACCGGAGAAGAAGCCCUGGCUAACUUCGUGCCAGCAGCCGCGGUAAUACGAAGGGGGCUAGCGUUGUUCGGAAUUACUGGGCGUAAAGCGCACGUAGGCGGAUUGGUCAGUUAGGGGUGAAAUCCCGGAGCUCAACUCCGGAACUGCCUUUAAUACUGCCAAUCUAGAGACCGAGAGAGGUAAGUGGAACUCCUAGUGUAGAGGUGGAAUUCGUAGAUAUUAGGAAGAACACCAGUGGCGAAGGCGGCUUACUGGCUCGGAACUGACGCUGAGGUGCGAAAGCGUGGGGAGCAAA
rnacentral:rRNA from 1 species